rnacentral:sRNA from 1 species
AGUGGCACCUAAUAUAGUCCAUACAGUGAAUAACUUAGUUCAUACUGGGUCAAAGGACAUAACAUGGUAACUUAGUCUUGUUCAUACGGUCUUACUUCAUACUUUCAUAGGUUCAUAUAUAGUUGAAAGUUCAUACUCCUGUACAAUAAAAGUAAAACUAAGAGCAUCUUUAUUGGGAGUAUCUCAAUGAGAUACCCAACAAAAAAAAAAAAUUAGAAAAAAAAAAAGUAAGAGAGAAGAAAGAAAAAGUAAAAGAGAAGGAGAAUUGAGUUCCUCGUAGGAAAAACUUUGAAAAACUAUUCUCAUCUAAAUUGGACAGCUGUCAUCGUAUUAUUAGUUCAAGUAUUAAAUAACAAUUAAUAUAUCUGUUUUGACUAAAAUU